UUGAAGAUCUCAACACGAGGAAACUAAAGGAAUGAAGAAACAAAUAAUGAAAGAGUUUCUCUUUUAAAAUGUGUAACUGUUAAAUAAUACAUUUCAUGAUUUUCAAAUAUUUUUUAUUUUAACAAGCUAACCACAACCUAUAGGCUAAACACAGUUUCAAAGCCUUUAAGUUAUUGUUUAGUUACUUUUUAUCGUCAAGUUGACAUGGGAGGAUCUACUACUGACAGACGUCACGGCCUCUUGAGGACUGAAAUCUCUGCCUUCUCAAUGCGGGACAUUUUCUCAAUAUGCGACGUGCGGGACAAGCGUUUUGUCCAACUUUCAGAUUAGAUCACCCAAAGGGUCGCCAUCUUUCAUCCCCUCCAACCUUGAACUUCCUCUGAAGAAUCCACAUCAUCGCGAGAACUUUCGGUACCGAGGGUGACGAUUCUGAUUGGCUACCGAAGAUACAAAUGCCGCGCAGACCGAUCAUGCGCUGAGGGAUUUUGACGUCAUACGCAGACAGGUUUGCGCAUCGCCGCAUGCGGCCCAACAAGUGAAGCAUUAAUUACUAGUUCUUGCUUAAAAUGUAAUUCUUUAAACGAUAGCGUGGUUGUGUCUCAGAGUAACAACAAUUUUUGUUUUGUGCAAUGUAAGUUACAUUAAACUUGAAGGAAAUUG